UACAGAGGUCCCGAGCGUUGUUCGGAUUCACUGGGCGUAAAGGGUGCGUAGGCGGCCUGUUAAGUCGAACGUGAAAUCCCCGGGCUCAACCCGGGAACUGCGUCCGAUACUGGCAGGCUUGAAUCCGGGAGAGGGAUGCGGAAUUCCAGGUGUAGCGGUGAAAUGCGUAGAUAUCUGGAGGAACACCGGUGGCGAAGGCGGCAUCCUGGACCGGCAUUGACGCUGAGGCGCGAAAGCCAGGGGAGCAAACGGG
rnacentral:rRNA from 1 species